UGAUCCAGAAAAAAGUCAAUUGGACCAACAAACAACCGAUAAUUGUUACACAAAAACCAGAAAAGUCAAGAAGGACUACAGAAACUGCUGUUGGAAAGAAAAGAAAAAGGAGAAAGGAAGCCGAAGAAGAUCGUGAAAUGAUAAAAAAGCUGGCCACCGAGGGAUGUACAGUCAGAAAUGAAAGACAAAAAGAUGUUUUGACUCUCUUGAAUGAAGAACUUGGUAAAAUGCACGGUAGUUCUGCGAUAAAUGAAAUAAAAGUCAAAUGUGGCAUUUGUUCAACGCCUCAUGUCAUUAGUGGUGUAGGAAGGACUAUACAAGGAAAAAUACUUCAGAAAUGCUCAUUUUGAUAAAUGCAUCAAGAGAAGAAACGACGCUCUAGGAAGUGACCAAAAGAAGAUGUCAGACAUUUUUACCAGUGUGCAAAGACAAAGAGUUGAGACCUCAGUUAAACUUGAUGACUGUGUCGACGAUUUUGAGGGUGCAGACGCACUUGCCUCGGAAAAGUAAAUAAAUGCAGUUUUCAAGCAUAUGAUGUAUUCUAGAUUUUAAUACACGGAAUGGUUAAGGUGGCAAUGUCUAUAAAGUUGCAGUUCAAAAUGCCGUUUGCAGUACAUUAGCUAGUUGUACUUGAACUAAACGUUUUUGUUUUUAAAUCAGCCAACA